AGAAUUUUCUGAUUCACUACCACUGCUGGUGUUACAGCGUGAACGUGACCUGAAGACAAAAAGCAGUAAGUGUUAAAAUGACUGGAGCCCUUUGGAUGGUGCAGUGCACGUUAAUUAAUGGCCUCACAGUAAUAUGAGGGCAGCCUCAAUCAUUUCACUGGAUGAUCCUUUGAAAGAAGCCAGCGGAAAAUGAACCUCAGUGUAGAAGUCAAGUCUGGAUUUGGGAGUGUAUAUGCUGCAAACUAUUUCAAGCAAUUAUUUUGUAUGAAAAUAUGCAAAUUUAGCCAUAUUUUAGCAAAAUGUAAUUAAGCUCAUUUUCAAAUGUAUUAAAAUGACUAUCUGCUCAA